UUAUUUGAAACAGGAUACAACCUCGCACACCGGGUAAACAAAAGGAUAACAAAACCAAGUGGGCCUAAAAGCAGCCACCUUUAAGAAAGCGUUACAGCUCCACCACACCCAACCCAAAAUCAUUUCAACACCCAUCAACCCUUAACCCCUACUGAACCAUUUUAUACUAUUAUAAAAACUAUUAUGCUAGGACUAGUAACAAGAAUUUGCUUUUCUCCUUAAUAUAAACAUAAACCAAAACGGACCAUCCAUUGGCAAUUAACGUUAAUGAACUAAUUAUAAUAACUACUUUGCUAGAAAACUCUAUAUUUUACAACGUUAACCUUACACCAGAAUAUUAAAGGAAAGAUUAAAAGAAAAAGAAGGAACUCGGCAAAUUUCAACCCCGCCUGUUUACCAAAAACAUCGCCUCUUGAUUAACAUAAGAGGUCCAGCCUGCCCAGUGACAAUGUUCAACGGCCGCGGUACCCUAACCGUGCAAAGGUAGCAUAAUCACUUGUUCUUUAAAUGAGGACUUGUAUCAAUGGCAUCACGAGGGUUGUACUGUCUCCUUUUUCUAAUCAGUGAAACUGAUCUCCCCGUGAAGAAGCUGGGAUUUUAAU
rnacentral:rRNA from 1 species